GACGGAAGGUGCAAGCGUUGCUCGGAAUCACUGGCGUAAAGGGUGCGUAGGCGGCUUGGUAAGUUGGGUGUGAAAGCCCCGGGCUUAACCUGGGAACUGCGUUUGAUACGGAUGGGCUAGAGUUCGGGAGAGGAGAGUGGAAUUCCCAGUGUAGAGGUGAAAUUCGUAGAUAUUGGGAAGAACACCGGUGGCGAAGGCGGCUCUCUGGACCGAGACUGACGCUGAGGCGCGAAGCGUGGGGAGCGAACGG
rnacentral:rRNA from 1 species